rnacentral:rRNA from 1 species
UACGUAGGGUGCGAGCGUUGUCCGGAAUUAUUGGGCGUAAAGAGCUCGUAGGCGGUUUGUUGCGUCUAUCGUGAAAACCUGCAGCUUAACUGUGGGCUUGCGGUGGAUACGGGCAGACUUGAGUUCGGUAGGGGAGACUGGAAUUCCUGGUGUAGCGGUGAAAUGCGCAGAUAUCAGGAGGAACACCGGUGGCGAAGGCGGGUCUCUGGGACGGUACUGACGCUGAGACGCGAAAGCGUGGGGAGCGAACAGG